CCAUUCUACUUCGAUAUUCACAUUGUUAUCUCCUUCAUAUUAGCGAUCAGUAAACACGAUAAUGUGACUAAUAAGUUCGUAUUCUCUUUAUAGGCAAUCCCUGCUGCCUCAAGACUUGAAACAAAACAAAUUGGAGGGCGAGUCAGAGGUCCAUCUCCAUUAAUCCAUCAAUGGAUAGAAUUCUGCUUGCAAACAGCGAGAGCAUUGCCUUUCAAGCAAGAGGUUAUCCUGGGUGCAUCUCCCUCUACCCUUGAAAGUACUCUGGUUAAGUUGCCUGAAGAACUUCUGGAGGGUAAACCAAGUCUGGAUACUAACUUAAUUGCUGGAGUACUCCCGGAUGAAAUUCUGGCCAGAUGUGAGUUUUUGGAGCCAUUAUCUGAAGCUACUUUGUCAGAUUAUGAGUGGCUGGUUGUUAAUCUGCAAAAACCUGCUCCUGUCUUGAUGAAAAGGGUGCAACAUUACUUGUCAUCAUUAAUCCAAAGCUUUCUAGCAAGAGCUACAUUGAAAAGUUAAUGGCUAUAAUGCUGUCAGGGCAAUUGGGUCAGGGCAAUUAGGUCUGAGCAUAACUUCAUUAGGAAAAGAGGCUUCAGCUACGUUAAAUAUUACAGGAUGUACUGAGAUGGCUGAAGUUCUUGAGGUUUUAUGAGAAAGAUGAGUGUUUGUUUGAACAAAGUUGUUGCCAAUCUUGCAGAGUUCGAAAACAAAGAUCACGGAGCGAAUGCCACCAAUUUCUUCAUCAUUUUAGCCUCCAUAGCUGAAGUUUCCUCAUUUGAAGCUGUUUAUGCAUAUGCUUUUUCCCUUCUCAAGUACAGGAAAUUGAAGAAUUAACCAGAUGUGAUAUGCUGAAAGAGGGAAGUUUUCUUCCUUGAAUGUGGCCUUUGUGAUUUGUCUUGAUGGAAUAGGGUGAUCACUGGCGAGAACCCAAUCAAGGUAGAUUUUAUGAUGUUAACAUAUUAUUAAGCAUUUUGUUGCAUCAGCAAUGAUGCUUUCAUAGAAUGAAAGUGUUUAAAUUUAACUGAAUGAUCUUGAUUGAUCAAUUAUGAGUUUUAAUCGAGUAAAAACUAAAUACAAUGAUCGUUAACAAAUAUUGAAAUUGGGUAAAUAUGAUCUUGAUAUUGAAGAAUUUGAAAUCACAACCCACACAGGAAAUCACCCUUCGCGUGGGGAUGGUGAUGUUUACUGCAGCGAUAUUGAAUAUGUCCGCUGCUCUUUGGGUUAUGGUGCGACUUGCGAUUUCAAGGUUGCCAUGAAACAAUGGAAAAGAUUAACAUGCCCUCCAAUGAAUGAAACUAUUAUGUUAUUAACAAUGCACAGUCCGAGUACUUUUCCAGGAUCAGAUACGAGGUGGUCUAAUGUUGAUAAUAAUAGAUUAUCAAAUGACAAAUCGUUGUUCUUGGGUGGUGAUUUCAGAAAUAAAAUACAUUCUGAGAGAUGCUGGUUUACUAUUGCAAGCCCCCAGAUUUAAGAAUCUUUUGAUGAUAAUUUAUCACCUGCAGCUGUGCCGGAAGAUUCAAGUAGCACUGAAAAAGAUGAUAAUUUAAUUGAUAUGGACAGUUUCCAUAUCACUUUUAAAUCAUCUUAUGUAAUUGUAAUGUUAGGAAGCAUUAGUGAUCUAAAAGUGAACUAUUCUUGGUGUCAUUGGUGGUUUUAUCUUGUUAAAAUAUGGAUGACUUCCUGUUACUAUUUUAUUAUAGACAAUCUUAUUCAAUUAACAUAUGGUUUAAAACCAUUAUGUUUUAUGUAAAUCAAUCUAUUAAUUUUCAUGAUACUUAACUGAGUUAAAACCAAGUGCACUCAAUAAAUGUCUUUUCCUUUAAAAAACUGCUACGCUUUGAUUUUAGUGCUUAAUAUUUCGUAACUACAGAUUAUCUAAUUGCGAGUUGCUGUCCAUAGCUACUAAUUUGUAGUGAUUAUCUAAUUGACGGAGGUGACAAUAAUUCUUUUAUUUUCAAUAGCACAACGUGGAAUUCAAUAAUUAAAUUCUCCUGUUUAAUUUGUUUUAAGUUAAAUUAUUAAUUACUUAAACUCAGUUUUAAGUCUUUAAUUUUCUGUGUUUAUGCAGAAUUGGAUUCUUGAGCGUGUUGGACAUGACCAACAAUGAAAUUGACGUAAACAAACAUUACAAUGUGUGGACUCCGGUAGCUACCCCGCAAGUCUACAACUUUACAAAUAAUAAUUGAGUAAGCACCUUUGAUUUCUAGCCCCGUUGACUCCACCGACUAAAGUUUUGUAAAAUAAAAAAAAAAUACAUAGAAUUCCACCAAAUGCAAAACGCGUGGAAUUUAAUUUUCGGCCGUGUGGAUCAAAACAUAAUUUAAUGAAAAAGGAAAAAAAUGAUAAGAUUUUUAAAAUGUGUGGAAGGUGAUUCAUAUUUUACUGAAACAACUUGUUAAAUUUUUCAAGGAUUUAAAAUAUUUGGUCAUAAAUUACGUGCAUGUUAAUUUUUCUGCCAUUGACUAUCAUAUUCUAGACUUAAUGGUACCUUUCUUGAUGAAGGGUACUUAAUCUCUCUUCUCCUCUUAUAAAAAUUAUAUUAAUUGAUUUCUUAUUAUAGUUAAUAGUCUUCAAGAACGGAUAGAUUUAUUGUUUUCAUGACCAAAUUAUGCAUGCCUAACGUUGCAAAUAUUAAUAAAAUUAAUAAUUAAUGUUUAUGUUAAAAUAUAUAAGAUUUUAUGCAUUCAUUAAUUGUUAUUAGCUAAAGGAUGAAUUAUUUUUUCCCAAUCAGUUGAUGCAUCUGCAAGAGUUUUUUUUUUCUUUUAUUGACCAUAAUUAUAUUCCGGGUACAAUAAAUUGUCUUUGGUGCUUGGAAGAUAUGACAUCUCUCUGUCAACUUACUGGAAAUAUCUCCUCAUCUACUCUCAUUUAUCUAAUAUCAAUUGAAGAUCUCAUAUUUCCAAACUAUGACUUCCAAAUCUCAUUAUCAUUUGAGCAUUCAAAACUAAUCAAGUGUGGAAAUAAUCAAAUAUAUGCAAAAAUCGAGUCACAAUCUUUGGCCCCUCAAAAUUCUAAUUAUAUAACUUCAUAUCUCAUACAUUUUCCAAAUUCCUCUUCCAUCAACAUCACUAGGAGUAUGUUCAUCUCUCACACAUUAACUUGAGUGGAGAGUUUCCAAAUUGAUUGUCAGAAAACAAUACAAAAGCUAGACAAACUUGAUCUGUCUACUAAUUAUCUUUCGGUAAAAUUAAUUAAUUUUAGGGUAAUAUUCAGCCAACCUCUGUAAUUUUAGAGUGAUCAUUAAUUAAUUAAUUAAACGAUACAAUAUCUAAAGUGAUUAGAUGUUUGUGGACAAUACAAGUUCAUGGCUUGAAAUUUGAUCUCUAUCGAUUGGUUUACAGAUUGACGUACUUGUGCUUUUGUGGUGAUAAUUGAACCAGAGAUGUGAAGCUGUAAGGAUUUGGCAGUAGUAAAUUGUUAUAAAGGCAUAAAGACAACUAUUUUACAACAAAUUCAUCUCGCCAAAAAUUCUAUUUUGCUAACUAACAAUAAUUGAGCACUUGACCGCAUUGACUCCACGUCUCCAGCUACUUUCUAAGUAAAAACAUGGAAAUGUAAUCUCCACAAAAUGCCAAACGUGUGGAAUUUAAUUUUUGGCCUUGUGGACCAAAAUGCAAAUGAAAGAAAAAGAAGGAAAAAAACAAGGCCCAAAGACUUCUAAAAGAUGUAAAAGUCUUUGGGUUUUUUUAUAAUGGUGGAUUUUUUAAAAGAAAAAAAUAACAACAGUUCUAUGGUUUGUUUUGAUAAUCACAUUUACAUAUACUCUCUAAUUUUCAAAAUGGACACAUAAAUCUUUUUUUUUCUACAAAUGUAUAUUAUUCGUAUUGUUUAUUAUUUUUAAUAUCAUAUUGUUAUUUAUUAUAAAUGUUUAAAGUAAAUUUUUAGGUUGAAAUAUAAUAAACGGGUAUAAUCGUUCUCUUAUUAAACACCCAUACUUUUAGUUUCUAUCCAUUUGUCAUCUCAAUCUCUCUCAAUUAUUCUUUAUUGCUAGCUCAAAACGCAUUGCUGUUGCAAAUUAUAGCAAAAAGACAAAUAUGGAAAAGAAAAAAGGGUAGAAAAUUAAUGCAUGAAAGACUUGGAGAAAACAAUGAACUAAGUCAACUAUAAUCUAGCUGGGUGUAUAAAUUGUUUGAUGCUUUAUAAGCAAAUAACAUACAGAGACAGACAAUGUGUGUUCGUUUUUUCAUAGUUAAAGAUAUAGUUAGAAUGGGUGGUUCAAAAUCAAAAAUGGUGAUAAUGUUUGUUAUGUUAUUAAUAAUAUUUAAAAGUGGGUGGACUGAGGGAUGUUUGGAUCACGAGAGAUUUGCUCUUUUGCGACUCAAACAUUUCUUCAAUGAUCCUCAUAAUUCUCUUUACGACUGGGCCGAUGAUGAGGGAGCUAUUGAUUGUUGUCAGUGGGAAAGGGUUGAGUGCAGCAACACCACAGGCCGAGUGAUAGCGCUAGACCUUUUUGAAAUGUAUUCGGGAGAGUACAGCUGGUAUCUGAAUGCUUCUUUGUUUACUCCCUUCCAACAACUUGAGUCACUUGAUUUAACUUACAACAAUAUAGCCGGUUGUGUUGAGAAUGAAGGUGCUUCGUUUAAUUUAAUUAAUUUACUUUCUCCCCCCUAAUUUAAGUUGAAUAUCAAGACCGAGCAAUUAUAUGCAUAUUCAUUCAGUUGACAAUUUUGACUUAUUUUUUUUAAAUGAUUAAUUUUGAAAUUACACCAGUAUCUAUCAUCUUUUUUUUUAUUAUUAUUGCAGGUAUAGAGAGGCUAUCAAGAUUGAACAACUUGAAGAUGCUUAAUUUAAGUGAAAACUCAUUCAAUAAUACCAUUUUAUCAUCUCUAACUCAUCUUUCAUCAUUAAGAUCAUUAAAUUUAUAUGGGAAUAGUUUGGAAGGAAGUAUUGACGUUGAAGGUACAUAAUUAAAACUUCAUCCCUUCUCCAACCUCUUUCAUUAACUUGCUAAAAUAAGAUUCAAGGCUUUGAAUUCAAUUUUUUUAUGAUUAAUAUUAAAAAAACAGUUUUAAGCAAUUUAUAAAUACAAGUUUUAAUGUUUCUUGUAAUUUCAUCUUGUACUUUCAUAUGUCUUGAAUUUAAGAUUAAAAAAAAACUCUAAUAGCGAACCAAACACCUCCACAACUUCUUAUUAUUUGUGGUGAGGUUUGAAACAUUCAACUCAAUUUGUACUUAUUACAGAAUUUGAUUCUUUGAGAGAUUUAGAGGAGCUAGACAUUGGCGGGAACAAGAUUGACAAAUUUGUGGUCUCAAAAGGUACUACAAAUACCAUAAAAAAAAUAUGCUAACUUUUACAAAUUAGUUAGAUUCUUUGCCAUUUGGUUUAUUAUUUUACAGGUUUGAGUAAGUUGAAGUCUCUCGGUUUAAGUGGUAUCAAACUCAAUCGUAGCAUCUUAUCUUCUCUUUCUUCGUUAAGAGAAUUAGAUAUAAGUCGUACGGGAUUCAAAGGAACAUUUGAUGUUCGAGGUAAGCCUAAACCUUGCUUUCUCAUUUUAUAUAUGCCAACUAGAUUUGUGUAUCAUCGACAUAAUUUAAUAUUUAAUUUGAUAAGUCUGAAUGAAUUACAUGCUAAUUUAAACAUACUUUUAUUUACUCUAUCAAUCAAUUAAUUAAUUAAUUACUAUUUGGCUUGGUUUGGACGAAAUUCUCAUGAUGUUUUAAUUUCUUUAAAUUAAUUAAUUAAUUAACUCUGUUUUUAAGUCUUAAGUCUGGGCGUGUUUGCAGAAUUUGAUUCAUUCAACGACUUAGAAGUGUUGGACAUGAGCUACAAUGAAAUCGACAAUCUUGUGGUUCCUCAAGGUAAACAAUUAAAAUGUUAUUCAAUUACAUUAUUUUAAUUCAUUUGAUUAGGGAAGGCCAAAAAGGUCCAAAAAAAUAAUAAUAAUAAAGAAACAUAUAAUUUGUAUUAUUUAAAAAACAGAAUGUAAUAAAGAUUUGAUUCCAGUUCUUCAAUCUUUAAAGCGAUUGAAAAACAAUGUUGCUCUUUUCCCAAAGCAUAAAAUACGAAUUGAAUGCCAAUUAACUUAAUCAUUCAUUUCGUUUAGCUCUAAAUUUAGACAAUGAAUUUUUAUAUUAUUUCAAAAACAGGACGUAAUAGAAUUUAAAAAAAAAACAGAUUGUAAUGAAGAUUUGAUUCCAAUUUUUUAAUCUUUGCAGCGAUUGAAAAACCAUACCGCUCUUUUCCCAAAGCAUAAAAUACGAAUUGACUCCCAAUUAAAUUAAUCAUUUAUUUUGUUCAUCUCUGAAUUUAAAUAAUGAAUUUUGAUCUUCAAUCAUAUUCUAACUACUAUUAAAAAAAUAGGUUACAAAGGUUUGAGGAGGCUGAAAAGUCUUGAUCUAUCGGAAUUUGAAAUUAGAGAUGGAAGCAAGUUGUUACAGUCAAUGGGAUCAUUCCCAUCCCUCAACACACUUGUCCUGACGGAUAAUAAUUUUACCGAUAUAGCGACCGCUACUCAAGGUAAGUAAAAGGUACAGAUGUGGCCAAAUUUAUAAAUAAAUUGUUAAUUAAUUAAUUUUUCCGUAUUAUUAAUUAAGCUAAAUUUGUUGCUCCUUCCUUCUAAUUCUAAACAGAGUUGCACAAUUUCACCAACUUGGAAUAUUUGACAUUGGACGAAUCCUCUCUCCAUAUAAGCCUUCUGCAAAGCAUUGCAUCAUUAUUCCCUUCGUUAAAAACUCUGUCGAUGUUUGGUUGUGAAGUCAACGGUCUCGUACGCGGUCAAGGUAAAAGAAAAGCGUUGAUUGUGAACUCACUCAAUGGUGUCCUACGUGUUCAACAUUUUUGUUUAUUUAUUUAUUGUUUAAUGUUUCUGCUAGGUUUUCCCCAUUUCAAGAGUUUGGAACAUUUGGAUAUGGAUUACACGCGCAUUGCACUCAACACCAGCUUUCUUCAAAUCAUCGGUGAAUCGAUGCCUUCUCUUAAGUACUUAUCACUGUCAUAUUCUAAUCUUAGCACUAACAGCAGCAGGAUUCUUGAUCAAGGUUAAUGAGAUGCUGCCACCCUCCCCUCUUAAUCUGUAAUAUUAAUUUUCAAUUCAAUAUUUAAUUACACAAACCAAUCACUUCUAUAUAAAAGAAUACUAUGCUUUUGUUAAAUUUUUUUAUUGUACUGAUGGAUAAAUUAAUAAAUUUUCAGGCCUCUGUUCGUUGGUGCAUCUGCAAGUGUUGUACAUUUAUAAUAAUGAUCUGAGAGGCAGCUUGCCUUGGUGCUUGGCAAAUAUGACAUCCCUCCGAUUAUUAGAUGUUUCUUCCAAUCAACUUACUGGAAGCAUCUCCUCAUCUCCCCUCAUUCAUUUGACAUCCAUUGAAGAGCUGAUGCUUUCAAACAAUCACUUCCAGAUCCCAAUUUCACUUGAACCACUUUUCAAUCACUCAAGACUCAAGAUUUUCAAUGCUUAUAACAAUGAAAUAAAAGCUAAAAUAACUGAGUCACAUUCUUUGACCGCCCCAAACUUCCAAUUAUCACGUCUCUCAUUGUCUUCCAGUUACGGAGACGGUUUCAUAUUCCCCAAAUUCCUUUACCAUCAACAUGACCUGGAGUAUGUUGAUCUCUCACACAUAAAGAUGAAUGGAGAAUUUCCAACUUGGUUGUUGGAAAACAACACAAAAUUAGAAACUCUUUCUCUCGUCAAUGAUUCUCUUGGAGGACCUUUUCGGUUGCCAAUUCAUUCACACAAGCGGUUAGGAAUGUUGGAUAUAUCCAACAACAACUUCCGAGGCCACAUUCCAGUAGAAAUUGCAGAUGUUUUACCAAGUUUAUACGCUUUCAACAAUUCCAUGAAUGCUUUAGACGGUAGCAUUCCCUCUUCAUUUGGUAAUAUGAAAUUCCUCCAAUUUCUGGACUUAUCCAACAAUCACUUGACUGGUGAAAUUCCCGAGCACUUGGCCGUGGGUUGCGUCAACUUGAGGUUUCUUGCGUUAUCAAAUAACAACCUACAAGGUCACAUGUUCUCUAGAAAUUUUAACUUGACAAACUUGAAAUGGUUACAAUUGGAGGGCAAUCGCUUCGUAGGUGAGAUCCCACAAAGUUUGUCUAAAUGCUCCUCACUAGAAGGAUUGUAUCUUAACAAUAAUAGUCUUUCGGGUAAGAUUCCACGAUGGUUGGGUAAUCUCACAAGGUUACAAUGUAUUAUAAUGCCCAAUAAUCAUCUUGAAGGCCCUAUUCCAGUGGAGUUUUGUCAGCUUGAUUUGCUUCAGAUUUUGGACAUUUCAGACAACAACAUAUCUGGAAGUUUACCAUCUUGUUUCCAUCCUCUCUCUAUCAAACAAGUUCAUCUUUCAAAAAAUACGUUACAUGGACAACUAAAAAGAGGUACAUUCUUUAAUUGCUCUUCCCUUGUGACAUUAGAUCUUAGCUAUAACCGCUUGAAUGGCAGCAUUCCGGAUUAGGUUGAUGGGCUUUCUCAGUUAAGCCACCUUAUCUUAGGUCACAAUAAUCUUGAAGGUGAAGUGCCAAUUCAAUUGUGCGAAUUGAACCAACUACAAUUGUUAGAUCUUUCUAAUAAUAAUCUUCACGGUCCUAUUCCUUCUUGCUUUGAUAACACCACACUUCAUGAAAGUUACAGCAAUAGUUCUAGUCCUGAUGAGCAAUUUUAAAUAUCUUUUUUCAUCCAAGAAACUCAAGGAUAUGUAGAAAAGCAAAUCCAUGAAAUUUUUGAGUUCAUAUAUGUAGAAAAGCAAAUCCGUGAAAAAUUUGAGUUCACAACAAAGAACAUUGCGUACAUUUACCAAGGAAAAGUGCUUAGCCUCCUAUCAGGACUUGAUCUUUCUUGCAACAAGCUAAUCGGUCCUAUUCCUCUUCAAAUUGGAAAUUUGACAAGGAUUCAAACAUUGAAUCUAUCACACAACAACUUGACAGGAUCGAUCCCAUCAACAUUUUCAAACUUGAAGUAUGUCGAAAGUUUGGAUCUUUCCAACAACAAAUUGAAUGGGAAAAUCCCUCAUCAACUAGUGGAGUUAAAGACAUUGGAGGUUUUCAGUGUGGCAUACAAUAACUUAUCAGGCGAAAUUCCAGAAUGGACUGCACAAUUUGCAACCUUCAAUGAGAGUAGCUAUGAGGGAAAUACUUUUCUUUGUGGAUUGCCAUUGCCCAUUUGCAGAUCACCAGCAACUAUGUCGGAGGCUUCAAUUGGCAAUGAACGAGAUGAUAAUUUAAUUGACAUGAACAGUUUCUUUAUCACAUUUACAACAUCGUACGUAAUUGUGAUAUUCGCAACUGUUAUUAUUUUAUAUGUAAAUUCUUAUUGGCGACGUAGAUGGUUUUACUUUGUUGAAAUGUGGAUAACUUCAUCUUACUAUUUUGUUGUAGACAAUCUUAUUCCAACAAGAUUUUGUCAUUGAAAUUAAUUAGUAGCUUAAUUACGAUUCUUUAAGUACUAAUCAAGUUUGCUUAGGAAAUAUUUUUUUAUUAAAAUUGUAGUAGUAUUUAGCAUUAUAUAGCUUCCAACUUCCAAGCACUUCACAUUUGUCUCUACACUUAAAAAACUGAGUAAUCAUGUUUUGCAGAUCUGUCCACCAUAACUUAUAGCUUCCCUAUACUGUGCAGCAUACUUAAAUAAGAGAACCAUCUCCAAUGUUAAAAGCAUUCACUCUAUAACAUUCAUUUAGAAACUAUAUUCAGAAUAAUUUUAUAAUUAAACACGAGAAAUGAAACACAUAGAUACACUUGAUCGCCUAUUUUACUCUAAAAAAGAACGAUUAUUGUGCUAUCAUCAUCUUCUUCACUAGCAACAUUAACACCAAAUCGAUGGACCCAUACAUUUCAUCAAGAAAGGUAUAUAUCCAAUAAAGUUGAAGCCUAACAAAAAAUUCAAGAAGAUUAAUGCCUCGCCACAACAAGGGGCACAACAACAUCAAAGUAGAGAUUAAGCAGUAUUCUCAAAGCUAAAACUCUCAAAUCCACCCACCAGAAUUUCAUAUCUCCUCAACAAUUUUAAGAACUAAAGAUAAUUAGGAUUUAACAUUAGUUUUUUAUAUAUUAGUUUCAUAAUUUACAAAUCAAUGAAGAUGAAGAUUAUGCUAAUAAAUUCAAAUUAUACCAUACAUUCUCUAGAUGUUACCAAAAAUUUCUAAGUCAAUCCCACAUAUUUCAUAAUUUUAAGACUAGAAAAUUUCACUAGUUAGAAGUUUCAUUACCUUCAAGUGGAAGAUAAAGAACAUUAUACAAGUGAUUCAGAUUAUAUCAUACAUACUCCAAAUGCAACUAGAAAUUAACAAGUUCAUGCGCACAUAUUUCAUAACAUUAUGAUUGAAAAGUUUCACAAAGAGAAAUUCUAAAUUCAAUCUCUUGCAUGAAGGCAGUUUGAUUGAUUUGAGUUACUUUCUUAUCAAGCUACUAAUAUAACAUUCAAGUCAGGGAGAAAAUAAAUUAAAACUGGGAAGAAAUAAUAGUAAAAAUUUGUUGCUCAACAUGAUGUGUAUUUUUUUUCAAGGCAAUUUGGAAACACAAUUGUUACUACAGAUAUUCUUCUCAACUUGGAGAUAAAUACAAAUAUUAAAAUGCAUAUGAUCGCACAUAUUACUUCGAGUUUAGUAAGAUUUCAUUAAAAGAAGCAAUCAAACCACUUAUCAAUUGUCGCAGUCGUUCUAUAAACUAAAAUAGCAAUAUAAUACAAGAAAAAGAACAUAUAGAUACUUGGCAAGAGUUCAUUAAGAAGUCGCAUCACAUUCGGGUGAGGAGUUUGCUUCUGAUAUCUUGCUAGCUGGGGCUUUUUCUUGUCUUUCUACGUAUGCCGAGGGAAACCAACCAGCUUGGCCCUUGCAUUCACCUUCCGACCAUCCAAUAGGAGCCACCUUGAGAAGUUAUAACUAAAACGGUGAAUUAAACAAAAGUUGACCGUUCAAAGACCUAAGGGGAAAACUAAUUCUUUUACGUAGGAGGAGUGAAUUAGUUGUGAUCACUGAAAUAACAGCAUAACUAUGGAAGCAUAACAAGAUAUAAAUUCACACGUCUAUAAGGAUAAACUGGGUGGUUCAGAACUGAGCUAGCAACCCUACUAUAUUCUGAUUUGCACUUCAAUGUAAAAGGGAAUAUAUGGUAGGAAGAAAGAAAACCAACCAUCAUUUGUUAACUCAUUGCUUUUCAAUCAAAAUUUUAAGAACAAAAUGCCAUGUGCUUUGAACAUCAAAUAAGUAUAAGCAUUAGUUCUAAAUUCCACAUAUCAUAAGUUGUUAGAAGGAUAAGUUAAUAGCAGAGUAGAAAAAUCUAUGUGUUGGUAUUUAGAGGGGAAAGUACCUGGCGAAUCACAACAUAAUCAUCAAUUGAAAGACUUAGCUCUCCAUUUGCUUGAGCAUCAAAUGGAUGUAUAACCUGCAAGAUAAUGGGAUAAAUAGAACUUAAAAAAAGCAUAACAAAAGCAGCAACAGUAGCAGCAACGUUCAUUGUAACCACUAUGAUCAUGGCCAACAAAGAUAUAUUAGAAACAAAAUUCCAUUUUUACUACGACAUUAAUAUGUACUAUACAAAUUCUAAUAAGUUCUGUAUAACUUUAUGUAGUUAUUUAAAUUAUGGAUCAGAUUUUAAAUUUGAAAUUUUGACUGCUCUCCACAAAACAUGGCCUAUGCACAAGAAAGUCAUAGAUAAUGAGGAUUACAAGUGUCCGGCAUCUUUUGAGUGAUGGAUUUAACAUGAGAGCUUAUGGUCAGUCAAUUUCCUCUGCCUAGCAAUAUAAGCUUUCUCGGCCAGAUUUAUCAUCAAAUACAUAGAUUGCCCCCAAGUCACAUCCAUAUAAACAUAGUUUUUCUAGGUAAACCAAGUAAGGAGUAUCAUAAUUCAGACAUAAUCAUAAAAAGGCCCAUCUAAAUUAAGAGAAAAUCUCAAAAAGAGGGAUGCUGAGCUAUCAGUCUUGUAUCUAUAAGCAAUAUCAAGACUUUACAUCACCUGCUACAUCGUGAGUGGCUACACAACUUUCAGUGGUUUGUCUUUCUUUGGCACGCCUAACUCAGCUUUGAUGUUAGUGAGAUAUUGAUAGUAGAGACACAUGAUACUUCUAGCUCAUGCAUUCUAUCUAACCCAUCCAACAACUAUCUCUUUUUUAAUUCAUUAGUGUUUGCUAAACCUCAUGCUUAAAAGUCCUAUUCUCCUUAGCACCACAGUUGGACACUUGUAGAGCAAUUUUAUUUGGGGGAAAAGAAUUUUCAAGGUGUUAACUAAUAAAUUUUAAAAAAUAAUUACAAUUUGUCCUACGAUCAUAUGACAAUUUAUCUGGGAUGAAAGGAUACAGAUAGACAUCUUCCACUUUCAAGACUAAUCACUACUUCCAUAGAUGUUGUGCAAUAAUACAAAUACUUGACCAGAUGGUAGUGAUGGUAGAAAAAAAUUUUAUUGCUCCAAAAUUAAAAUAAGAAUGCAAUAUGUUAAGCAAAAGGCUGUGCAACAUCAAAUUAAUUGAUAAGUUUGUAAUUCAGUAAAUUAACAACUUUCGUGGUAAAAUACAACAAAUUUCUUUUGAAAAAAAUAAAAAAAAUAAAUCUUAAAAGACAGCAUUCAAUUUUGUGCGCAUCUUAUUUCUUAAGAUUUUUCAGGAGGAGGGCAAUAGAGGGACUUUCACCUAUGCAAGAGAGCAGAAGCCUUACUUUCCCUAUAAAGUAGACGUCAUUCUGAUUAAUAUGCGUUUGCAAAUCAGCUCCGUUUGAAUCAGUAUUCUGAUAGACACACGAGCCAUUUACAUCCAUUUCCAAAGUCACAUGUUGCGAGGAGGACUCAUUUGAUUGCUCCUAUACGAUCAUCUAAUUCAAGUAGCAAGGGUUGGAAGAGAAUAAAAAGUCACAAUUAUUCUUUUGCAUAAGUGAGACGAAAAUGAUAAAUGCAAUAUUAUCAGCAGUAAACAAGAAGAGAACGCUCCAAGAAAUAGAUAGAUGCAGACAAGCAAGUUAAAAUGCAUAGUCCCAAACCUCCGCAUACAACUUCUCUAAAAUAGCAAUAACGUGUUGAUGCUAUGUUUUCUCAGCAUCUACCUGCAAAGGCCCGAGACCAGGAAAACAACAAUAAAACCACUAGCUGAAGGAGAAAGCAAAGAAAGAAAUACACUUGACAUAAAUCUUGACAAGAAGCACAAUUUAAGACAUAACAAACCCCAAUCAUAUUGUUUAGAACUACCAUUCGUUAUUUCGUUAUUGUAACAUUUCGAACAAGUGUUGACUUAAUUCAACAUUGUUGGAAAGAUGGGCUUUUAGAAGCAGAAGAAAGCCUCUCAAACCAAAGUGCUUGUCCUUGUAUUGAUCAAGGGAUGUAAACAUAUUACAUUUGCAGGAUGAGAUUUAAUCACUCCCCUGAUUUAUUUGGGUUGCAGUAAAACUAAGCGAGCAACUGUUUGACUUCCAAGCAACAGCUAAAUCAGCUAUUAAAAUUCAAAUAAAAUCAUAAUAGAAUAAUAACAGGCCAUCUUGCAUCAAAAAUUAAGUUUAAUUUGUGAAUUGUUUUCUAUAGACAUGUCAGUUUCUGCUAUUGAAAUGUUAAAAGCAUUGAAAAAUUAUUCAAUAAAUUAUGCAAGCAUUAAAAUAGAGGACAUAUUAAAAAGUUUCUAAUUACAAUGUUAAUAUUUCCUAUAUUCUAGCAUUUGCAUAUUUUAAUUUAUUUAAAAGCUACGUCGAUCAACUUUGGGCAUGAAGAUUUUAGCUUCUACGAGACUUGCUUGGAAUAUGCACAAGAGUGUUAAAAUAUGAUGCAUCCAACGAAAGACAAACCACGUGUAGUCUUUUAAUUAAGCCAAAGUAGCAGCUCAAACAAAUGACACUUGGACCAACAUGCAAUCAUGAAGUGGCCGGAAAAAGGACAAAUGCUACUUUGGCUUAAAUAAAAAAUAACAUGUGACUUGACUUUUGCUGGACAUGCAUCAUGUUAUUACAAGACAACAGAAAUCAGUAUGAUAGUACUAAAAGUUGACAAUAACAUGAAGAUAAGAGGCAGACUGUCAACACAUGCAUAGGCACACACAAGAAAGUAUUAACUUCUAUACCAUAGCAAAAAGUCUUUGAUAUGUCAUCUGUUGCUGCUGUGAUUCAACUGACAGCAUGGCAGCUGUUGCUUCUCUACCAAGAGCCAUUAUUGUAGAUUUAAGCUCCGUCUAUCUUGCUUCUGCAUUUCGAAGCUUCACAGCACUCUCUGCUGAUAUAUCAGAUUCCCUAAUCUUUGAUCGGCGCCUAAAUACUUCAGCUGCCUGGUGAAAAUAUUCAAUAUAAAUCUAACAUAAUUCUAAUCUUGCCUUAUACAUGCAUAUGUUACCUCAAAGCUUACCUGGGCUUCAACUUCAUGUCGAAGUUUGUCAUAACGAUGAGUCAGGUGUCGAGCAUCUUCCAAAGGUGUUCCGUUGAUUAACGCCCGUAGUGGCUCAGGUACCUACAUGUCCAAAAACCUGUAACAUAGUUAGAAAAAUGAAAAGAAAGAGCGAAACCUCAAUUAAAAAGUUCCUCCAACAUAAUCAUGGAAUUUGGGCCUACUUCAAGGAUAUAUAUAAGGAUAAUUUAUGCAAUUUUGGGUCUGAGGAUGAUUCAUAUUAGGUUAGUGUUCUUCUCUUCUGUAUUUAAGGUUAAAAUAGAAAUAAACCUAUGAAAAUAUCUAAAUUAGGGCUGUAAGACUUCCACAUGCAUCCUUCAGUCUCAUGGAUUUGAUUUUACUAUAGAUGCAAGUGUCUUUAAAGAAAAUGCUUGGAGUCAAUUGAGAGAACUCACGGCCAAAAACUUGUCACACGCUAGUCUUUGCUAGUGAUGUAAGAAGUCACAGGGUCUCUUCAACAUUUGAACCAAUAAAAUUAUUAAGUCAUGGAUGUCACUAGCAAUGAUUUUAAUAUAAAACAUUAAAUAUUUCAGAGUUGUAACUUUAAAAUGGAUUCUUUUAUUCAAUAUCAUAGAACUAAGUUUCCUUAUGAGAAGAUAAUAGUUUCGAUAAUAAUUUUACAUAUAAUUUUCUAUAUUUGAAUUAUUUUCUAGUUAGGGAUGAACUAACCUGAUCACGAAGAAUCCCGAGCAAAGUUUCCCUCUCAUUUUCCAUCAAAUCAUGUGAAGUGCCAAAUUGAAGAGCAGCUCUUGCAACGCAAGAAUUGUCACUUUGAUUCUCUGCUCCAUACUUGCAACAAUCUUCAGCCAACUUUCUCGCUACAAUAUUUGAAUACAAAAAUAUUGUACACAAGAACUAUAAAAAACUAAUGAAAAAUGCCAAGAUGGAGCAGAUGCUUCAAUACUGCCCGUACAAACCAUAAAAAACUAAUGAAAAAUAAAUAAAAUCAAGAAAUUUUACUAAUUAAAAGUCUAAAUAUAAUUUUGAAAAAAGAAAAGAAACGGACUUGCUGCUGCUUGGCGACUUGUUCUCGGAGCUUGAUUGCUUGUUUCUUGAUAGCUUCCAUACUGUUUCUUUCAAAAAGCGACGACGGCUCAGCUCAUGGAAGUGGAAAAAAAAAGUGUGAUCGAGAAAAAUGAAAAGGCGUGAAUAAUUUUUGACAAAAAGCGAAAAUCAAGGAAAGCCGGCUCUUUCCAGAAAAUAAAAAAAGAAAAAAGAAAAUCAUAAGUUUGAAAGGAGAAGAUGAUAGUGGAAGUAUGCAGUGUGGCUGCCAGGUACUUGGAUUGUAUUGUCGGGUAAGGUAAAAGUGGAGAAUUAUAAGUUUGAACAGAGCAUGUUGGACUUUUGUUGACCAAAUUCAAAAGCCCAAUGGGACGGUCCAGAAGCUUUUGAAUAGAAAAACUUGCUAGAAAGCAUCAGUUUAAAUCACUACUUAAACGCUUGCUUUAACUGCACCGCUUUGUACUGUUUUAUGUAUGUAGCGGUUGUGCGGUUGUAAUUCACGGCUGACGCUACGUGUUUGUUUGUACUGUUCUAUUCGGUGACAGAGUAUUAUUAGUUAGGCCAAAACUAUGUUGCAACAGUGGUACAAUAGCACUGUUGUUUUCAGUCAUUAGAUCUAUAGUUGUACAGUUGCAUUAACAAGAUCCAAUGGUUGAAAACAACAGUGGUACCGAACUACUGUUGCAACAUAGCUGGACCCUAUUAGUUAUUUCAAAGGGAUAAAUAAGAUUGGUUACAACAAACCUACUAAUUUUAUAAAAUUCAAGUAAUAUAGAAUAAAAUAAAAAAAUAAAUACAAAAUUGACUUUUAUUUUUUAUGGUUGACUAUAUUUUGUGUUCUCUUCGGGCACUGCUACAAUUCUUCCCUAUAUAUCAAUUACACCACAUACUAUCGACACAAGAAAUGAAAUCUAAUAUCACCUAUUUAGUUAAAAAAUCACUCAUGAAAAAAUUUUACCAUUUUGAUUUGAGGAUCCAUAUUUUGAACUACAAGCUAAUGUUCAUCAAGAAUCACUGAUGGCCGUUGAGUAGAAAAAUUAUUUUUGGACAAAUUAUUUUUGUUGAUAGAAGAAUUUCUUUAGGGACUACUAAAUUAUUAAUAAAAAUAUCGAACACACCCAAAUAUCAUCGACACAAUUGAUUUUGAGGAUCCAUGCUUUGAACUGCCGCCUAAUGUUCAUCAAGAAUAGAGUAUGGCUUGUGAGUAUAAAAUUUUCUUAUUUUGGCCCGAAAUAAAAAAAAAUUAAAUUGGAUGAGAAUCUGCCACUUUCUCAUGAAGAAAGGCAUACGGAGCAUACCAUGGUACCAUACAAUAUAAGGAGCCUCCGUUCUUUGGUUUUUCAAACUCUGAAGGGGCCAAUAUUGCCAAAUUCCCCCUUGAAAAUUCUGAUUACGACAUUAUUCAUCGCUUGAUGCAAUCAAAGUAGUGACAAAGUAAUUGCUAGGCAAGGUUGCUGAGAGCAAAAUUGUCCUAAGCAUUAUAUGCAUACAUGGUGCGGUACAUAGAGCACGUUGAAUUCCCCACUAUAACACAAAUCCAGAAAGACAAGUAAUAACUCAACUGAUAUAAAGACAAAAAGAAGAUAAAAUGAUAUAGAACAAAGAAUUUCAAAGAGACAGCAACAUACGAUAGACUGAAGCCACUUGAUCUGCUCAUUGAUUGCAGCCUUAAACUUGCAAAUAGUUACUGUACGCUAGUGCUCUAAGAAGUGAAAAUGAUGCAAGCCCUGAUUCCCUUUUGACUUCCAUUUACUGUCAAACAUUCUAGUAAUACAAAAAAUUGUUUAGAUAUCUUGCUAUAAAUAUAGCCGUUUGACUGUCAUAAUAAAGUCACAAAUAACCAUUCAUAUUGAUCUACUAUCACACAGCAUGCUUUAUGCAUACAACAGCUGUAUGUAUACCAACUCCUAACCUUAUCAACACAUUUGGCAAAAACUUAGGAAGAAAACUAUUUCUCCAUCUCUUUUUUGAAAUUUCACAAUAACCAGCACAAUGUGAAAGCUAUGUUCUAACCUUAUGAUAAAUGCUCCAGACUCCAAAAGGAUUUUAUAUAUGAGAGUUUGUUGCAGCAGAUAUAUUGACUUAUCAAGUAUGAAUCAUUGUCUGGAUGAACUAUCUUUAGAUAAAAGAAUAUUAGAACCACUGUAGAAUAUCUUUACGCUGCUGGUUCUAACAGGAAUCUGCAUGUGGCAACAAUUGCUAGAUCCACAACUCCCCAACUUGAAAUACAUAGUUGCACACCAUGAGAUAGUGCUACAAUCUACUGAGAUCUAACUUAUAUGGUACUUUAAGCUACUAAUGUUUGCAUAUUUCUACAUGUUAAAUUAACACUAUUAUCUAUAAUCACUCCAAAACAACAAAUGAUAAGCAACUUUUGGCCACUUAUUACUAGCAUCCACAAUUAUAAAUAAGAGAUCAUGGGUUUACUUGUUGCACCUACUUAAUUAUCUGCAGUUGACAUCCUGACGCAAGGUUUAAAUAGUGACUGCUUAGAACCCUUGUAGUUGGAUCUUGACCUCUCCCAUUGUAGCCAAGAUUGGUUACUCUGGUAAUGAAUCAACACUCUCCUGCUCAGGGCCAUGAAGAUCUGAAAGCUCAGCACUAGUGGAGAACUUCAUCAAUCUCUUCUUCUCAGCAUACUUGAGACAAGGCUGCCUUACGAGACCAAUCACCAUAGCACCAACGCUUAAAACUGCAACUUUUAAAGAAGAAAGAGCCAACACAACACAACACAACACAAAUCAAUAUGGUUGGAGGAAUACACAUGAUAAUGGCUCCAACAGUGACAGUGGGUAUCUUGUAGGGACGAGAUGCAGCAGGAUAUUGCAUCCUUAACCAUACAAAUGCUAUGAACUCCAUAAUCAUUCCAAAACAGUACAGGAAGUUCUCUGCAGCUACAAUAUCUCAAAAGCUCAGCCAUGAUAGCAAAACCACACCGGAUGCUGAGAAUAUGAUUCCAAUCAAAGGAGUCCCAUAACAAGACCUCUUAGCAAAAAACUCAGGUAGCGUUCCACGCUCAGCCAUCCCCAAAAGUUGGAAAGAGUCGCUGCUCAUCUCAGCCACAAACAUGCCCAUAUUGGACAUUGCUGCAGCCCCCUGGAUGCACCAUCUCAACCAAACUCCUCCAAGCACUUUAGCGAUAUCUGAAAAGUAACCAUCGGUCCACAAGUCGCGAUCUAAUGGAAUAGCUCCAGUUCCAACUAGAAGGGGAAAGAAAUAUCCAAAAACGACCAAGAUCAAAGCAUAAAACAAAGCCUUUGGAAGAGUCUUCUUUGGGUUAUCCACCUCUCCAGCUAGUUUACUUAUUGAGUCCCAGUAGUUGGAGAUUCCAAAACAGGGUGUUCAAAUACAAAUUCCAGUCCACUUCACCUAAAUUUACUACAAGCCAUCUUGAAGGCUCUAACUUGGGAAGGGACACAAGUCCCAUAACCACAAAAGGAAGGAAUGAGAAAAUCUCUAAAAGAACAGCAGCCCAUCCCACAAUGGUUAGACCCCUAUAGUUCAUGAAAGUGAGAACAAAAGUCAAAGCUAACGCCGCAAAGGCUCUAGGUAACCCAUCGCCCAAAGCAGGGAUAUACCAGACUUCAAGUAGUCAAGAAACAGAACUGGGUAUAAAGCAUUAUCAAUAACCCCACUUAGCCAUUUCAUCCAAACUUGCUGAAAACCCCAAUAUGGGCCUAAGGCAGAUGAAACCCAAACCACAUAACCACAAUUUUCAGGAAACACGGUACCCAUCUCGGCAGUAAUUAAAGCUUCAGGGACACUCCAUAUAAUCGGAAACACCAAGAAACCAAGAAGUGCUAAAAGAGGACCAGCUGCCUUUACACUAUCCUCAACACCAAACGCCCCCCCAGAAACCUCAUAGAAUAUAAGGAAAAUAAGUGGCAAGAUUGAUACUUUUUUAGCGCCAUGGACUCUAGGAGAAGAUGGUUGGUCAUUGAUAUUAACAUAUUCAACAGCAUCAGACUGCCCCAUUUCUACUGAAAGUUGCCUAUUCACAGUGUUCCUCAAUUUCUGCAUCAAGUUUAAGCAUAACUAUCAAAAGGGUAUCGGCAUCUAAAUUAUGAAACAAAAUGAGCAUUUACUUAUUAAAAAAAUUCAAAAAAACAGAAAUGGAUUUCACAGAACACAUGAAUUUAAGUUCAACAUUAAACAGGCGCUUAAGAAAACAAAAGGGUCUGGUCGUAAAGCCAUCAGAUUGCAAGAUUGAACAACAUUAACGGAAUCAAUAGAAUCGAUGUAAAGAGAUCUGAAAAGAAAAUAAAAUAAAAGAUGAAGAGGGAUAAAACGACCCAUCAAAUAAGUGCAUGCAGAGCAGAGAGGCAGAUACUAGAGAAGCUCCGUCAUGUUAGAGAGAGCCUAAAUCAAUCAGAGCUCACUGAGUUUCUUUUCAACUGACCGGCAGAUUUGGAGUAGCAUAACAUAAUAUUUUUGCUUUUAAUUUUCGGAACACUUUUGAAUGGAAUUUUUUGUUUUUCAAAACUAACGAAAUCGUAAAAAUAAAUAAACACGUGUUUGGUUUUGGGCUUCUUCUUUUGUUCAUUUAAUAUCAUUUGGUUCCCUGAUUUUUGACUAAUUAUCAACGGUAUCCUGUUAGUUUCCAAAUUGAAAUAAUAUUAGGUCAUGAGAUUAUUUACUCCAUUUAGCAAUGUAGACUUAAUAGUGUAUUGAAAAAGCUUUGUCAAAUAGUAGUAAUAGGGGCAUAAGAAAUAAGUUCUUCAGAAUUUAGAUAAUAUACUUGGCUCUAGGAAGAUUCCCCUCUUAUCACUCAAGUUAGGCUUUUACCUUAGAGUUGAGUAAAUUAUUAAAAUAAAUUAUAGCUAUCACAAAUUCGUCAGGAGACUUUCAAUUUUUUUCCAUCAAAUGGCAAUGAGGCAAAAUUACCUCAACUUAUAUUUCAAAACUAAUACUUCAAAUUCUGACAAUAAAUUUGAUGACAGUCAAUUUUAUGUAUAGUAAUUUUGACUCUUUUGUUUGGUCUAAAAGUAAUUAUUUAAAAUGACAAUAUAACUUAUUUAGAAGAAAUGGUAAACUUAUAGUUCGUAAUAUUAUUUACACAAAUAAUAAAGACUAAUUUGAUAAUAAUCUUUCAAAUAAUAAUGAAGUGUUAAUUACUAUUUAACAUUUUUGAUUAAUUUCUAAAUUUAAAACAAAUAUGAAAGUUGAUUGCUUUGAAGGUUGGAUCGUGACAAAUUGACAAAUGAAAAGAGAAGUAGAGAAUAUAUAUUCUGAUGAAAGGGACAAGAUUCAGCAAGGGGACAAUAUUCUCUAUUGGACCGACAAAUGGGGGAAAAGAAUAUAUAUAUAUAUAUAAUUUCUUAUUUGUGGAUUGGCCAACACGUGUAACAAAUAUGAAAAGAUAAAAUUUGGCGUGGUUUUAACCGAUAUAAGACAAGAAGAACAAAGCAAAGCCCAUGAAAAUUCACCUUUCAUGUGGGUUGGAUCGGAUAAAAUCAAUAUCUUGAAUCAAACAAAAUGUUUGGUACAUAAAGUUUUUUUUUUUUACAUGAUAUUAGAUUUUUAUCCCUCGAAUUUUUACAUGAUAUUAGAUUUUUAACCCUCACUAAUAUUCGAGAGAUAUCUACUCCUCAUUUUUGGGUAAGGGAGAAGACUACCUUCACUCAAUUAUAAUUAAGGAAUGAAAUACCCCCACAUUACACUUGUAGGGGUUCAAACUGUUGCCCUCCAACUUGGAGUGCAGCAGCGCUGACCACUCGGCCAAAGUCCGAGUGGCUGGUACAUGAAGGUUUUGAGUGUGUGUAAUGAGCCAAAAUUUACAUAAGGAUAUUUUAGUAAAUAUAAGAAAAAAAGGCUCAGGGAAUGGCCUAUAGAUAGAAGCACGCAGCCCAUGAGUGAUGAGAAUACAAUUUAACUGUUCAAACUAAUUAGAAGCAAAUUCUUUCAUAUCUUUCUUUAAUUUUUCCGCUUAGUUCCUUAGCAUCCAAUCAAGUUCAAGUUAAAACACUGUUGAGACAACAAUAUGCAGGCAUCAAUAAGCAUAGUAGUUUUUUAUAUGUAUUCUAUACGACAAUUAUAGAACUUUUUGCAGCAACUUUUUUUCAUUAACUAAUGUUUGAAGAACUUGUUAAAAAAAAUGGUAAAUUUAUAAUUUUGAAAAAAAAGAAAGAAAGUGACGUUACCUCAUCGUCAUUAGAGACUUGUUGCAAUGAUAGCUCAAAAUUAAAAUUUUUGAAGAAUUAGUAGACGACGAUGAUGUAAUAUUUAUACAGUCACCAACAUGUUGAUUUUUGUUUAAUGUUUGAUCGAUAGAAACGCUUGUCGUCGUCGCUGUUGUUGAAUUCAUACAUAGAACACAGAAGAGAAGGAGGGAGGAAAGGGAAGAGAAGAAGAGAGAAGUGGCAUAUAGCAAAUAUGAUAUGCUAGCUGCAUACCAGCCUUAGAGAGAUUUUUUUUAAUAUUUAUUAUAUUUUUGUUUUUGUUAUUGGUUUGUCAUAUGCUUCCAGGGAAGCAAUACGUUACAUCAUAAAUUGCACCUUUUAGGGGAGGUGGUAAAAAACGUGAGAGCACUACGCUCCAGCGCAUACAUAUAGAAAGAGUUUUCGAAUUUUAAAAAGUUUCUUUAUUUCUUCCAUGUUUUUGUGCUUAAAAUAAAAUUUAAUUGUAUUUUGCAUUAACUUAGAAAAGAAAAGCCAGUUCUAUAUAUAAACUCAUGCAUUAAUUAGAAGAGUUGAACUAUUGGCACCCCUCUAUAAUCUUUAUAAAAUUCCUCUCCUAUUGUAAUUACAUUAAAGGACAAAAUAAAUCUAAUUAUAUCAUUAUAUUUCUCUUUUCAACUCUUUACACCCGUGCAACUACACCAAAGUCUUUUACAAUUUUUGUUUCCUCACAAACAACUUUUUCUUGAGAGAUUUACAAAACUUAUUUUUAAUUUUAAAAAAUAAAUAAUAGUUAUUUGAGUCCACUUUAAUUUACAAAACUUUCUAAUAAUAAGUUUUGUAGACUUAUUUUUCAUUUACAAAACUUUCUGAACUUAUUUUUAUUUUUAAAAAAUAAAUAAUAGCUAUUUGAGUCCACUUUAAUUCUACUUAAUUCAUACAUGUAUUUGAUUUUUUUGAGUAAAAUAUGUAUGAUUUAAUAAUUCAAAAAUUUAUAAAAACAAUAUUUGUAAUUGGAGUUAUUUGGAAGAAACUGAAUUGUUUUUCUUUUUGAAUAAAAAAAAGCUGAAAAAAGAAAAAGGAUAUUUUAGGAAUUAAAAUAGAUUUUGAUAGAAAAGGGGUUUGAACAGAAAAUUACAGGGUGCUAAUAGUCCCACUCUAAUUAAAAAAUGAGUUCAUGUGGAUGCAAAUGUACAAUAAAAGAGAUUCUCUUUUGUAUAUUGGAAGUAACAUAACUAGUGAGUAUAAUAUGUAAAUACAAGUUACCAAGAAUUUGCACUAGUGCUAAUUAAUGGCACAACUUUUGAGCUAUGAAUUUCUUCUUGAUAGUUUAAUUAUAUUUUUGAGUUUUCGGUAAACCUAUUUUAAUAAUUAUUAAAUUAUUUUCACUUCUUACGCCUUAAUAAAAAAAAAUCAAUAUUUUCUGGUCUAUUCUAUAUUUUGAAACUUAAUUUUUAAUUCUUUAUAUUGCAAACCAAACUAAGUCAAACAGAGUAUGCUCUUCAAAGAAUUUUUCCAUUGGCCAUUGCCUUCAAGAAGAUUUUAUUUUAUUUUUAUAUAUUAAUUUAACAUUUUUCCGUGCACUUGUAAACCGGGCCGUCGGAUUCCACAUAAAGCAAAUGAUCAAACCGUUACAAGACCGACCCGGACCCACUGACUCUCAUUUUCUUUCAUUUGACCAUUAAAAGCUUUUGACCACCCCCGCCAAAUAAAUAAAUAAGCUCUUGUUCUCUUUUGUUCCUUCUUAAAGGAAAAUAUAUCUGAUCACCAGAUAAUGAUUCCGGUGUCACAAAAUAUCAAGACAACCCCUAAAUUCCCUUAAAUUUACGAUAACACCCCACCAUGGAUGAUUCCGUUGAAAUGCCGCCUUACGAUGAAAGGCCUUAGAAGGGUUUUAACUUCACACCCAUGCGCUUGAUCUUAACCCUCAUUUUCCCAAUUUUAACUUUCUUUUCGUUGGCAUUUUUGAUCGAGAUCGUUACUGUUUUAUUCGGCGAAUCAUCAGUUUCGAGUUCCAUUUUUGUCCCUUCCCAGUGCAAGAUAGUGCCAGCAGUAAGCUUUUUUAAAAUUUUCAAUUUUUUUCCAUUUAUGAAGCUCAAAAAUUUUAUUAAUUUUUGAAUUUUUUUUGAAUGAUUUUGCAGGUGUUGAUAUAAGGUCAUCAAAGGUUUGUGAACUUGGAGUGUUGAAUUAUAAGGCGAAGCGUGUGUUUUAUCCAUUUGAAGCAAGUAAAUUUCGCCGUCGAUAUGAUUACUAUUGGGCUUCUAUCUUCAAGGUAUUCAUACAUUUUCUCAACUUUAAUUACUUACCUGUACUAUUAGCUUCUUAGUGGCGGUCUUGUUUUGUGUUUUUGAUGAAUGUGUUUAAGGGUCAGUUUGGGAAUGCUGGUAAUAGGAUGUUGUUAGUGUUUGGCAGUAAAUUUGCUAUGCAUAAUUCAGCAAUGUGCUUGAUUUUGGUUAUUGUCUUUAACAAUUUUUAGGUAGAGUACUUAGAUCAUUCACUGGGACAAACGCAGAGCUUGGUUGACCAAAGAUAAGUUCCAGGCUGGGGUCGGCAAUGCAGAGCUUCUGCGUGUAUUAAAAUUUGAAGCCUAGUAAAUGAAUUUCUAAUUUAUUUAUAGUGUUUGUUUUAUCUUGAUAGAAAUGAAUGCUAACUCAAGAUUUUCCCAACUUUGAUUACUUACCUGUACUAUAAGCUUCUUAGUGGCGGUCUUGUGAGCGGUGUGGCUGACAGCUUCUUGAAAAUUAUAAGUUUGAACAGAGCAUGCUAGACUUUUGUUGACCAAAUUCGAAAGCCAAAUGGCACAGCUCAGAACCUUUUGAAUUGAAUAACUUACUAGAAAGCUCCAAUUUUUUGUUGGCUACGGUAAAAGGAUGUUGUUUUAUUCUUCUUAUACUUUACGCUUGCAUCAGCUUAAAUCACUUCUUAAACGCUUUGCUUUAACUCCACCGCUUCAUACUGUUCUAUAUAUGUAUCGGGUAUGCGGUUGUAGUUCACUGCUGAGACUACGUGUUUGUUUGACGUGGUAAUUACGUUACGAGUCUGUUAAACAUUCGGUGAUUAAAGUAUUAUCAGUUAUUUCGAGGGGACAAAAAAGAUUAGUUACAACACACCCACUAGUUUUAUAAAAUUUGAAUAAGAUGGAAUAAAAUAAAAAAAUAAAUAAGUAAAUUGACUUUUAAUUUAGUGGUUGAAUAUAUUUUGUAUUCUCUCGGGGUACUGCUGUAAUUGUUCCUUAAAUGUCAGUCACACCCACAUGUUACAGACACAAGAAAUGGAAUCUAAGAUCACCUGUUUAAUUAAAGAAUCACUCAUGAAAAAAUUUUGCCAUUUUGAUUUGAGGAUCCACAUUUUGAACAACCAACUUAUCUUCAUCAAGAACAGAUCAUGGCCUGUGAGUAGAAAGAUUAUUUUUGGACAAAUUAUUUUUGUUAAUAGAAGAAUUUCUCAAGGGACUAUUAAAAUUACUAAUAAAAAUGUCAGACACACCCACGUACCAUCGACACAAUUGACUAUGAGGAUCCAUGUUUUGAACUGCCACUUAAUGUUCAUUAAGAACAGAGUAUGGCUUGUGAGAAGAAAAUUUUCUGAUUUUGGCCUGGAACAAAAAAAAAUUAAAUUGAAGGAGAAUCUGGUACUUUCUCAUUAAGAAAGGCAGACGGGGCAUACUAUGGUACCAUAAAAUACGAAAAGUCUCCAUUCUCUAGCUUUUUAAACUCUGAAGGGGGCAAUAUUCCCCAAUUACCCCGUGAAAAUUCUGAUUACGACAUUACUCAUCGGUUGAUACAUAAGUACAAGUACUGACAAAAUUAGGAAAAAUAUGACUCAUAAGUAAUUACUAGGCAGGGCUCUUGAGAGCAACAUUAUACUAGGCUUUAUAUGCAUACAUGGUGUGGUACAUAGAGCACGUUGAAUUCCACACUAUAACACAAACCCAGAAAGACAAGUAAUAUCUCAACUGAUAUAAAGACAAAAAGAAAAUAAAAUGAUAUAGAAAAAAGAAUUUCUAAGAGACAGCAACAUACAAUAGACUGAAGCCAGUUGAUCUGCUCAUUGAUUGCAGCCUUAAACUUGCAAAUGUUUACUGUAGCCUGGUGCUCUAAGAAGUGAAAAUGAUGCAAACCUUGAUUCCCUGUUUACUUCCAUUUACCAUCAAACAUUCUAUUCAUAAGAAAAAAAAUCUUUAGAUAUCUUGCCGUAAAUAUAGCCAUUUGAUUGUCUUAAUAAAGCCACACACAACCAUUCAUAUUGAUCCACAUUGCCACAUAGCCUGAUUUAAGCAUACAACAGCUGAAUGUAUACUGACUCCUAACCUUAUCAAUACAUUGGCGACAACUUAAGAAAAAAACUAUUUCUCCAUCUCUUUUUUGAAAUUUCACAAUAAAACAGCACAAUGUAAGAGCUGGAAUGAAAAUGGACCGUUUGGAACUAUGGCGGAAGCUUCAACUAGUGUAGUGAGUUGACCUUCUUAUUAACCUAGCGAGAUCAAACACUGCCCUUGAUCUUGAACAUAUCAAUACGAUACGCACAACUUAUGAUUGAAUCCAGAAACAAUCAAAUCUUUAGCAAGAAUAAUUAAUCAGAAUCAAGAAACAAGUUUAAUGAAUAUAAACCUAUAAUUGGAACAAACACAGCCAAAGAACCCAAGAAUGACACAACGAACACCAAGGGAGAAGCUUUCCAGUGAGAUUAUAUUAAUGAUCAAAGAAGAAUCUUUUUACAAAGAUAACAAAAGAGAUUUCAGAGAAUAAGCUAUGACCCUCUCUCUCUUCAAUCUCUGUCUAGUUUGUUAACAGUGAUGACCCCAAUCUGCUUCGUUAGCCAGCUUCAUAACUGCGUCAGUGACAAACUAGCAAACCCAGAUUGAGCAGACUAACGACACGUGCAUAACGGCUUUAACGAACUUGGUUAAAGAACUGCUCACAUGUUCGUCACGCGUGUUGCUUAAAUGAUAGCCAAAACGACUUCAACCAAAUGCCGUUUUGAAGCUUAUGAAUUAUAAGUGAAAACACGUGCUUGUCUCGUGACAUUUAAAUGCAACAACAAGCCCAAAACACUGCCGGUUCACUAUGUUGAGUUUGCCAUCUCUAAGCUUCACAACUAGCAGCGGACAAGAUGAUAAUUUAAUUGACAUGGAGAGCUUUUAUAUCACUUUUACAACAUUCUAUAUAAUUGUGAUAUUGGGAAUCGUCGGUGUUGUAUAUGUGAACCCUCGUUGGCGACACUGGUGGUUUUAUCUUUAUUGAAAUAUGGAUGACUUUUCGUUACUAUUUUGUUGUACAUAACAUUAUUCUCAGGAGAUUUAAUCAUUGAAAUUAACAUGUUAGUUUCAUUAGAAGGCUGAGUGGUUAGGGCUGCUACCCUCCAACUUGGAGGGCAAUAGUUUGAACCCACAAGCGCAGUGUGGGGGUAUUUCAUUCUUUAAUUACAUUGUAUAAUUGAAUAAAGAUAAUAUUCUCUCUUACCCAAGUGUGAGUGGAGUAGACAUCCUUCGAAUAUUAGCGAGGGUUAAAACUUGGGCAGAGCUCAAUAAGUAUUGAUGUAAGUUGGUCCUAAUAAUAGUCUGAUUUGUAAAUAUCAGUUAUAGUCUCAUGUUUCCUUCCUUAAUUAUAUUGUAUAAUUAAGUAAAUGUACUCUUUUCUCUUACCCAAGUGUGAGUGGAGUAAACAUCCCUCGAAUAUUAGUGAGGGUUAAAAUCUGGGUAGAGCUCCAUAAGUAUUGAUGUAAUUUGAUCCUAAUAAUAGUAUGAUUUGUAAAUAUCAGUUAUAUUAUCAUGUAAUAUGAGUUGUAAUUUGAGUAAUAAUUUCAUGUAAUUACAAAAAAAAUGUUACUUUCAUUACUUUUUUCUUCGUUAAAAUUCUCAAGUAUCAAUUAUGUUUGCUUAAGAAAUAAAAUUUCGUUAUGAAAAUUGUAGCAGUAUUUCCGAGCACCUCACAUUUUCAAUGAUUUUUCAUAAAUCAAUUAAUCUGCCAUACCAAUAUCAGGUUUAGUUUUUCAGACUAAAUGAUCAAGAAAGCAAACAUACAAAUUCACAUUUUAGAGGGGUAAACUAGCUUUUAGAUUUUAGAACUAGGCUAGCUACCUCACCAAAUUCCAAUCUGUACAGUGAACUACAAGAUUAAGAAAAUAAUGUAUUUAUAGUUUAAUUGAAUCAUGAGAAAACAAUGUAGUCAUAGCUCAAUCGGACAUGAUCACGGAGAGGCAUAUUCUUUUCAAGUUAAUUUGAUCCAUUUAUAAGAAAUGAAGUGGAUUGAAGUUAAAAGUUCAAAUAACAAAUCCUUGUUCUUGAGUUUUACGACGUCGUUACUCCUUCAAGAGGCUGAUUAUGCAAGUGAAUGCGGAAACAGAAUGCAUUAUCCACGGGGAUGAUAAAUCAAAAGGCGGGAUCAUAGUCUAUGCCCGCAGAUUAACAAUUUCACUCAUAUAGAAAAUUAAUUUUUUUAUAUAUACUAAUCAACACUAGAUUGAUUAUGUUUUGUAUGUUUAUAUGCUAAUCAACAAUAAAUUAUAUUAAAUGAAGAAAUGCUUCAAAUUUUUCUAAUUUAAUUUAGAAAAUCAAUUAUUAACAUUAAUAUUCCUAAUAAAAAUUAUUUUCCAUCGGUAUUCAAAAUUUUCACUUAUAGAAAAUGUGUUUUACGUGAAUACAAGUUAUUGUGUAAAUUUGAAUGAUAGCGAAAAAUAAUUUUUUUAAUUAUUGUAAAAAUAAUUAACCAUAACAAAUCCCUUGUGUAAAUAAUAAUCAUUAUUUAAAAGGUAGAAAGAUGGUUAGUGCACAAUCAAAUUUUAAGCCCCUACCUCCUCGGCCCAAGAUUCAAACUUAGAUGAUCAGCCAAAUAAAAUUAUUUGAAAAUCAUUCAAUCAGGUUCUCGGGGAAAAAAUACAAGAUCCGUAUUUGCAUGAUAUAUAUGAAUUAAUGUAAUUUAUUUGAAUUAUCCAAAUUCAUUAGAGAUAAAACUAUAAAAGAUACCAAAAAAGUUAGAAGGAAGGGUGUGCUGGGAUAUUUUACAAACUAUAGGAAUCUGGUGAGAUUUUGAGCCAAACUGUAGGGAGUUGAAGGCAUUUGCCCAAUAUGUUUAGACGUACACUAACCGUUAUUUGAUCUUGUUGUUGGUCAUGUGAACUAAGAUGUAAAUUAAAGAAAAAGUAUAAAAUUAAAAAAAGAUAAGAUUUCUAAAAUGUGUGGAAGGUGAUUCAUGAUUCACUAAAAUUACUUGCCCCACAUAUAAAGGUAAACAUGUCUAAUUUCAUUAAAAAUAGGUGGAAAAAAUUAACUAAUAGAAAGCUACGGAAAUUAACCCCCACAAAAAUGACUUUUUAUAGAAGAAUUUAUGUUUUUUAAAAUAUGUUAUCAAAGUGUAUUUGAUCAAAUCUCAAUUGCUUAGUAUGGUUAGGAUUUUGUGAACAUAACUAAAAAGUGAAAAAUAUGAAUGAUAGGGGUGAUGCUUGCAAUAUGAAUAAAUAAUGGACUGAUUCAAUUGAUGAUUAAAUUUAUAUAUUAUUGAUUAUUUAUGAAUUUUCAGACUUGUUAUGAUGUAUAACUAUGUGAUUUUGAAACUUGAAACCGUGGCAAACAUUGAAAGGAAUUAUAACUUGAAAUCAUGACUCACGGGGUAUGUCAUGAUUCACGUGCACAAAAAAGGUAGAAUUGUGGAAAUUUACAACCCAACGACAAGUACGGAAAGAAAGGAAGAAAAUUAAAAGACUUCGGGCCUAGCCUGCGUGUAUUAAUUAUUAGAUUACUUUUUUUUAUAAGGGUAAUCAUCAAUUUACUCCAUAACAAUCUUUAAUUCAUUUCUUAAAAAUAUCAAAACUUUAAUUUAUCUUUUAAACAUCGUUACCUCUCUAUUGGUUUUAACAGUUCAAAGGGUAAAAUUAUAUUUGCAUAUUUUCUUGACCGCCAACUAAAUGAUAAAACUCAAAAUUCAAUCUUGUUAUCUUGUUUCAAUCCUCUAUCAAUCAAAUAAGAUUUCUAAAAUAUGUGGAAGAUAUUGCAUGAUUUCCUCAACCUACCUGGCCCGAACAUCAAGGUAAAUAUCUCUAAAAUAGUUGAUUAAAUCUCAGUUGCUAAGUAUAGUUAGGAUUGUGUGAACAUCACUGAAAACUAUGAUUGAUAGAAGUGAUCUUUGCAAUAUGAAUAAAUAAUUAACUGAAUCAAUUGAUUUAUAUAUUAAAGUUUAUGAAUUUUCGGGCUUGUUGCGAUAUAAUAAUAGCAUAUGAUUUUGAAACUUGAAACAGUGGUAAAUAUUGAAAGGAAUUAAUUUGAAAGCAUGAUCCGUGGGGAAUGUGAUGAAUCGUGUUUACAAAAAAGGUAGAAUUGUGGAAAUUUAUAACAGAACGAUAAAUAUGGUAAAAAGGAAGAAAAUUGAAAGACUUGGGGCCUGGCCUGGGUGUAUUUUCUAACUAUCCAAUGGACAAAAUUAUAUUUCUAUACUUUCUCUUACCUAAGUUUCAUAGAAUAGCUCAUUUCAUUUUUAUUUUUUAAAUAAUAGCCCAAAAUAUCAUUAUGUUAACUCAUUAUUAGUUGAAUGGCGUUUGUUAGUAAUUCAUUAAGGGUAAAAAAUGAUUUUCUAUCAAAGAGAAAAUUAGAAAAAUAAAUAAAAAUUGAUAUAUAACUAAAAAUUAUUUUAUCUAAUCCCACUAAAUAAGAAAUGCCAAAAAAGAUGAAAAAAUUAUAUUUCAAGCAAUUCUUUUUUCACUUAUUUCUAUUUUGGCAACAUGAAAGCCCUAUAAACCCUAGAUCUAAGUACCAAAAAUAUCACAAUUUUCUUAUUCAUAUAAGUAUACUCUCUAAUUGCAUUGUAAAAUGGCUUGAAUUGAAUUGAAGAUAAAGAAGAUAUUCAGCACAUGCAAGCACAUAAAAAUUGGUGGCAUUUUUGAGUUUUUCUUCCAAUGAUUUAAAGAUAUUGUUUUAAUUACAGUUUGUUCCUUAUGACAAUUAUUCAAUGGCGAUAUCAAACUAUAUCAUCGUUGAUUUCAUUUAAGAAAAAAGUUAAUGAAUUUUGCAUACUUUGUAGUGUUAUUUAAUUGUGUAAAAAAAUUAUUUUAAUAUAGUUUGUAUCGCUUUAAUGAAAAAUCCUAUUUUGCCCUCAAUGAAUUACUGGUUAACGAUUUUACACUAAUGGUGAGUUAAUGGAAAGAUAUUUUAGGCUAUUGUUUGAAAAGUAGGGAUAAAAUGAGCUAUUGCAUUAAACUCUAAGGAUGAAAAAUGAUUUUUCCCUUUUAUUAUCAAUCAACUAUCUGAUAAAAGUCAAAACUCAUAUUUUUUUUUCCCUUGUUUCAAUCCCCUCUCAAUCAAAAAAGUUUCCUUGUCUAAGCAAUGAGGAAUAUGGCUAGAAAGAUUGUUAUUAGAAAGAUUUAUCAAUAGUAAUUAGUUCACAACUGAACAGUUUUAGAUUAUUGUGAGUCAAUAUAGGUCCUGUUUAGGAUUGAAGUGUUGCAGUUUUUAAGCUACAGCUGCUGUAGAAAAAAAAACUAUAAUUAUGAAAUAAGAGUUAAUAAUAUAUAAUAAAUAUAAAUUUUAAAUAAUAAUUUUGACAAAAUUAUUAAAAAUAUAAUAGAUUUUUCAUAAUACAAAUAAAAAAAUCAUAUCAACAUAGCUUGCAAGGUACAACAGUUAGUAUGAUGUUAGUUUAUUUUUGCGUCAAUAUAAGUAGUCAAAUUGAAUAAGUUAGUGAAAUGCUGCCUCACUGUCCCAUUGAAUAUGAUUCAGCUAACAGGGCUAGAGCUUGUGGAUGCCAAUGGCACUGAACAAAGUAUUGGGUGGUAAUUUUAAGACCACGCUAUGCCCAAAACCCAAGUUAGGCGAUUACAAAUACGGGAAUCAAUGUCACUUUGCUAGGAAUGGAGAGGAUAGAUUGCUUAGUGAAAUGCAACUUUGUAGAAUGCUGAGAGAUGUGCUGAGAGAUGAGGAUAGUUGUCGAUUUCUUCAUGUAAAUGCUGAGAGAUGUGCGGAAGUUUCUACUCAGUUUAGGCUUAGUUUAAGAAUAGCCUGGUGAUAAACAUUUUGAGUGGUGGAUCUUCUGUGGAUAACAAAAGUAGGUCUAUUCAAUGGGAACGCGACAAGGGGCUGGCUAACUCGCUCAGGUUGUGCAAAUGUUAAAAGCAGAAUGCCAGUUGUAUGAAGUUAUGUCAUUUUCUUUAUAGAACUAUGAAAGCUUGGAGUCCACGAUUCAAUGGAAUCUCGGGCUGUGCCAAUGAUUGUUUCAAGUACUUUUUCUACUUUCAAUGUCCAGACUAAGACUAUUUCUAAGCAGCAAGUGCAGGAUAUAAAGUGCAAAUCAAAAUAGACAGAAGUGAAGAGGAAGAUACGUGGUAUAUAUGUUGAUUGGAUUGAAGAUAUACCACUUUUGCCUAGUUCUUAGAACAAAGCAGAAAGCUGUAGUUAAAAAUAUACCUUCUGCUAAAGAUAAGUAGUCAAUAGUUCUAUUAGUGCAUAACUUUGCGAUUAAGGAUGAUCGCUGUCUAUUUUAAGAGCUUUUAAUAGAAUUUAGUAGCCCUGAUUUUCAAUCUCAGUGUUUUGCGGCUGUUAUCGACAUCCCUCUGUUACAUUUUUCAAGUUUCAUUGAUAAAUUAGUAGUUAGCCUUAUGAAGAAUGCACACACCAUAACCAUGUACGUUAAAUAGCAAACCUGCAUUUUAUUGAACUGUGAACUACUGAUUCAAUAAAGCUCAACAUAAGCUAACAAGUCUUUGUGAAAUUGCUUCAUGGUACAUUGUUUGAAGUAUUUAAGCUAAUAUAUGAUUAUUAAUGGGCUCGUGAGCCAACCCCAUUAAUUAUAUGUACAUAUAUAUAAUGUUACCAUCAAUAUGAUAUGUGACAUCCCAUAACAGCUAAUUAUAGAUCUUUAUCCAUUUUCAUAAUUUGCCUUCUGGCUUCCACUGCUCGUCACUAAAUUCAAAAUCCAUUGCACCUCAAAACAACAUGAGAAAUCUUAUAGGCAAAUCAUGACCAGUUCAAAGAUAAUAGCGAUUAUAGGGAAAGAAAAUUAAAAUCGAAGACGCAUAUAAAAUAAUCAAGCUACUGAUGAACAAAAUAACAUGAAAGUGUAAGUAUUUAUACUAACCUUCACUUAUUAGGAAGUUUGUUUCGCUAUUGGGUAAGAUCAAGCUCUCUGCAUAUCCUAUUGGCAAAAGGAAAUCACGCACGUGUGAUCUCUCUCUCUCUCUCUACACACGCACACAUAUACACACGCAUAUACAUAUACAUGCAUGGUCAUCAUCUUAGAAACCGAUUGAGAAAUUAUUGUCAGAGUUUGAAUUUGCGCAAUGACUAGUCAUGUUGCUAAAAAGAAAAAAGAUUGAGAUUGAAAGAAAUUCAUUAUCAUCAAAUUGGUCCAAUAUCCACUUCACUGUGUGGAUCAAAUACGUUUUCGAAUAGUGCACUGAUCUACAAUCUACUGCAAUAAUUUGUUAGGACCCUACAUCAACAAAUUAUGGGAUUAGUUGGUUUAUUAACCCUAAUACAUCCGGACAAGUCAAUCCUUUCAUGAGAAACAAAAUGAAUUUUGCAUCCCAUGAAACACAACAUACUCAGCUAGUUGAAAUUGUGGAUAUACGGGGGUAACGUAAGCAUGCUUUCACAAUUUGAAAGAUUUAUUUUUUAAGAUUUAGUAUUUCUGGGAUCCUAUUGAGAUAGAGGGGUGGUGAAGGUCUAUAGAUUUUAACUUGACAGCUUCCUAUAACCAAAGAUACAUAACUAUACUAAAUGAGCAUCAUUGAAUUUCAAAGUUAUUCAUUAUAAAUACUUAAAGAAAGAAAAAUAGAUAUUUUGGUAAUAGUAAUACAUUAUACCUUUUCUCUUUUCCAAAUUUGCUUAACCUUACUACAAGGCAAGCUGAGUCCAAUCAGGUUCUCCAAUUCAAAAUCUGAUGUCAGUAUUUUCAAAAGAUAUUUAUGCCAAUGGAGAUUUCUCAAUUCUAUAGGAAGGCAUUUUUUUUUUUUGAAACUGAUUAAGCAUCAGUUGGUUACUGUAUUACACAGAGAUAUAUACAACUGCUAUGACAGCAGGUCAUUACACUGAUAUUUACAAUCAGAUAUAUACAUGUGACUUAUAUUAUUACAUUUUUAUUCUAUGAAGUACAUGCCCAUCCAAAUACCCCUCACAGAGGAGGGAUGUCUCUACUCCACUCCCAUUGCGCAAGGGAGAAAGACGUUGUAAGAAGUCUCCAUACAAUUAUAUUUAAUUGAGGGAGGUUGAGUCCGUGGGGACUCGAACCAUUGCCCUCAUAGUCAUGCUUAACUUUGAGGGCAAUGAUUCACCACUGGGCUACAAGCCCAAGUGGCUAUAGGAAGGCAUUCUAAACCUCAGUGAAGUUACACCCUGGAGCUUAUAAUUAGAACACCAUCAUACUCGGAUAUAUAAAAUUUCAGCAAUCUAAAAUUUGACAUUGUUUUAAAUGCUCCAGAAUCUAAACGUAUGUCUCUUAUCCUGGAGAAUUCAAGAAUAUACUUUCGGUUGCAUGUGUCCCUUCAGAAAAGAAGCAAAUAAUGAGUUCGCAUAAAUUUUCUCAGGAAAAAAAUCCUAAAAUUUAUAAAGAGCUCCUUAAAUGAAGACAAAACCUGCACUCGCUCAACUCUUUUUUUUUUUUUUUAUGUUGUUCUAGUCUUCUUCAAUCCCCCCCUCUAAAACUUUAAUCCAAGCGUUAAGUGUAAGUAAACUAAAAUAUGAUUUUCGUAUGCAAGUACAACACAACAUACCCAUAAAAAUGAAGAGCGGAAGUUAGAAUCAAACCUCCAGCAAUUGAUAUUUUGCAAACUGAUAUUUGAUUCUUCUGAGACUUAUGUAAUCGUUUUGAUGGUGCAGUUUUUGAAUUAGAUUACAUAGCCUCAGGUACUAAUACCAUUUUCACCAUUUUGUUUUUAUUUCAUCUUUCCAUCAAAGAUGAAGGGGUGGGAAAUUAUCAAAGCAGCUGUUAGAUGACACCUGCUUCUAGACCUGCAAGUAAAACCAAAGAAUGAGCUCCAUUAGAUACAUUUGAGUUAAUAAAAUCCCUUGUUCCUCCUAAUGAUUAUAGACAUUAAUUAGGAGGGAGAAAUGAAGUAAAUUAAAUUAAAUGAAGGACCUUCAUUCUCCACGCAUGCAGCCGGCUAUUUUGUUACCAAGUUGUUGAAAGGAAGUAAAUAGAGAAGCAUUCAGAUACCACUCUCCCAGAUCGAUAUUCCUAGUAAGACCAAGGUGUAGUUGUACCACUCGGCCUGUGGAGUUGCUGCAGUCAACCCUUUCCCUUUGUUCAUCUACCCAGUUUUGAAGUCUAUAAGGGGAAUUGAAGAAAUGUUUAAGCCACAAAAGAUCAAAUUCCUCAUGCUCCAAACAUCCCUCACUCCACCCCCCCCACCCCCCGGCGCCCUCUUCUAAUAUUAUUAAUACGAGAACUAACAUUGUCACCAUUUUGAAUUUUGAACCACCCAUUCUAGCUAUAUCUCUAACUAUUAAAAAACACACAUUCUCUCUUUCUCUAUAACUAUAAAUAACAAAAGGGCUCUAUGUUAUUUAUAACAAACACAUCUAACAAUUUAUACACUCAGGCCCCAGCUAGCUUUCAGUUGUCUUCUUUGGUAGUCUUCAGCCUUCUCAAAGACUUUCGUCAUGCCUUACUUUCAGCCUUCCUUUCCAUAUUUGUCAUUUUGCUUUAAUUUUCCACAAUUCUACCUUGGAUGGUAAUAUUUAAUUCGCCACGAAUUGAGUGAAACGCUGGUCCGUUACCCAUCCCACUUCAAUAUUAACAAUAUUAAUAAUAAUAAAUAAAUUCUUCAAGCAAUUGAGAUUUGACACCCACCCCACUUCAAUAUUAAUAUUAAUGGGAAAUCAUAAAUUCUUCUACAAAUGAGUCAUUAUUUUAAAAUUGUUAUAAGCUUAUUUAUUUAAAAAAAAAAAAACGAGAAGGGGAACUUGUUAUCUUAAAAUUAAAAGAUUCUGGUGUGGCUACCCGAAUCCGCACGUUUUUUAAGAUUUUUUUUCCAAUCUUGUGUACCGUUCAACACCUAUAUAUGCUUUGCAAUUGAUUAGUUAACAAAAUAAAAUUCUUGAUCAGUUGUGCGGUAAAAAUAAUAUUAUUUUACAAAGCUUUACCUGGUGCAGUCAAUACGGCUAGAAAUUAAAGGAUCCCCAGCAUGAUAAUUAAGGAAUAAUUAUUAUUCUAGAUUUGUGCAGUGGCGAAGCUAAUAGCAUUUUUCGUUUUCGAGUGAGCUGAACUUUUUCCCCCCCCUAAUUCAAUACAUUUUUAUCGUACAAUAUAAUUUUGUAAAUAAGAAAUUAUAGAUGCACCUAAUAAUGCGCGACAAAAUAAGCUUUACCUCUCAAAAUAUUUGUUCUAAACAUUAUUUAAAAUAAUUUAGACACAUAUUUAUUCACAAAAUGAUGAACAGACAAGAAUUUGAUGAUAAUUGAAGAGGCAGCAUAACUAAUUAAUAUAAAAAUUUUUAUAUAGGUUUCAAUAAAGGAAAUUUUGUAACUAAAUAAUUUUUUUUCUGAGAAGCCCGGCCUUGCCCUCUCCAAAAUUCGCCACUGAAUUUGUGGGGUGGUUACUGGAGUUCACACGUUUUCAAAUUUUUUUUUCCCGAUCAUUCAAUAGUAAUUUUGCUUUUUAGUUUAUUAUUAUUGUUGUUAUUAUUAUUAACUCAGGCAUUUAUUAAAGCUCGAACACAUAAUCUAAACUUUGAUAUAUUUUUUGCUGAGAGGAGUCAAAAUUUGGGAAUUAUAUGCGCAUCAUAACAUAAUAAACAACCGCAAAGUAUCCUACGGAAACUUUCAGUGCACUCUGACAGCAGCUUUUGGUAGUCAAAUAGUCUUGGAAUCAUUUUUUAGCGCAUAUUCUUUUCGGUAAUGUGAUGAAUUCAUAUCUAAAGAAUCAAAACUAUGAUGUGAAUUUGCUGCAAAAACUGAUCCAAGACUAUUCAUUCAUUAUUAAACAUAUGAUAUCGUCCGUAAGACUGGAGAAAUAUGAAUGAAUUUGUUGAUGAUAACUCAGAAGACGGUUAACGGUUAAAUAUGCUAUGUUGAAAUGCACUGUACAGUCAAUUAAUUUAGUUAGGACUCUGUUUCUAGAAAACAGAGUAUAAAAGAUGACUAACUGUUUUGGGAGAUGCUUUUGGAGGGACUUCUAGAUGAAAUUGAGAGAGAGAGAGUGUGAGAGAAACUCUGUAAAGUCUUCUCCAAUUGGUAACCCCUUUUGUUGCGAAUAAUAAAGCUUCAAGGCUGUUCAUUUAUUUGUACAUAAGCAGGGGGAAAGCCUAUGUAUAGACAGCUUCAAAUGAGGAAACUGCACCUAACUACGCAGCAGCUGUAAUGAAGAAGACAUUGAUGCAUUAGCUUCCUGUUCCGUCUUCUUGGUCUUCGGGGAGGUUGGUAGCAGCAACUUUAAUUGUUCAAAGCAAACACUUAUCUUUCGUUUCUCAUAAAACCUCGUGAGGUAAUGCUUUAGAUGACUGGUAUGCAAUAUUGUCAAUGACAAAAUGUAAUGUUGUAUUCUGCUGAUCAACAUGUAAAAACUACAUAUUACUUGAAUUAGUUUUUUUUUUUUUUAAUUUACUAAAUUUCAGAAUUUGUUAACGAUGUUUGUACUUGGUUUUAACUCGAUUAAAGCUCAUGAAACUUAAUUGAUUAAUUAAUCAUUUAGUUAAAUUUAUUCGCUUUCAUGCUAUGGAUCUUUGCUAUAAUAACAAAUGCUUAAUUAUAUGCGUAUGUGUGAUAUAAUAGCUGCGUCUUACAUAGCAUAACACUACACCAAAUAUGCCCCCCUCAGAUACUAAUUAAUUACACAAAUGUACUUUUAUUCAAUUUAUUAUUUAAAAUAAUAUUUGAAAAAAAAUGGACUUGAGCAGAGCAAAGUAGAGAUAAUAAACAAGGGUAGAUUAUGCAUGCGUCAAAAGAUUUUAAAAAAGAAAAAGAGAAAAUAUACGGAAAACAAGAAAAUUGCGGGGAGCCACUCUUGUCUUUUACUUUGGACUUGAAGUCGUUCCAGGUGGAUAAUGUUUUCCUUUUAAAUAUUUAGAAUUAUAUUGUGGCGCUAUUUAAAAUAAGUUAUAAUUUUCUUAAAAUCAGACUAUGAUUACGGUACUCCAUGGUCAGAGUGUCGUUGAAUAAUGCUGAGUCUAUUGAGUCCUUUUCAAAUCGAAACCAGAACUAAAGAAAAAUCCAGAACUGAAACAAGGGCACGAACCAGCAAGAUUUGAAGGAAAAAUUUACUUCGUUAGUGAUCAACAACUAAUCAAACGUAAGUGGAUUUACAGAAGACUUUGUACAGAUCACAAUGAAACAGAUUCUAUGCAAAUUGACGAACAACUGAAGAAGAAAAAGGAUCGUACAACAGGCACUGCUCAUAAGCUUCUAUUUAUACUGAUGUUUCUGGAAACGUUGUAACAGAUUAUAACUAAUUCGUGCCACGUCAGCAUAAAAUAUCUACUAGACCCAUUUAACUGAAGUCAAUCUGCACAACGACUCUGAACCUCUUCAUAUUUUCCAUUUCAGUCCACAGACUCAACUACACACGUCUCCAAAAAUAAUAAGUUUUAUUUAUUUAUUUUUAUUAAUAAAAUAAAUUUUUAUUAACUUUCGUUGAUUUUGGUAGAUUUUGUUUUUGAGCUGUUACUACACUGUCGGCUGGUGUGUCAUCAUACGUAGUAGCGUCAUCAACCCUCUCAUGACUUUGACGGCCGAAACAUGUUUCAUGGCACAAAUAAUGACAGAUUUGUUUGAGGUACGGCGGAGAUGCCUAUUCAAAUAUUUGAAGCCAGCCCCUCCUUGUUUAACAUUUUUUUUUUUAAAAGGGGAACAACUGCUUUAGCUGUAUAUAUCAAGAAAAUUAGCUAACAGUUUAUGCACUUAAUUAUUUAUUUUGCCACACAUUUGUAAGUGGUCAAUGCUGCCGUAAAAUUAUUAGACCCAAAAUAAAGUGUGAUGAGGGACAGGAAUUAAUGUUCCCAUUAGCUGUAGCACCUAUCUUCCAUCUCUAAUUUUAACUUUCGAUUGAUGAAGUGUUUUCAAAUUUGUCAAAUGUCUGUAAACUGUUUAAUAAUUGAAGAAAGUUAAAAUUCAUUUUCUAAAAAUUAUUUUCAUUCAAAAUUGCGAUUGGAUGGUAAUCAGGGUUAAUAUCAGAGCUUAAGAUACUAUAACCGUGAGAACCUAUUGACUGCCAAUUAAAAUAUCCAUUAAAAUGUCUAGGGAGUUAUGAAGGUGGGGGUAACUUCCAAUUUCUAAGGCCACAGAGUAGACAUCAUCCAGGAUCCUAGGAAAGUCCAGUUAACCUCCUGCUCGAUGCAAUUAAUAAAUUUGGUCAAUGCCACUGAAACCUGCUAACUGACGUCACAAUGCGACAUGAGCACUUCAAAAUGGGACGGACAGUCAGUAGCACUGAAUUUUUCUUGCCUAAGAUUGAGCAAUUGGUCUAACUACUAAUCCCUAUUGUAGGUUGAUCAUUAUUUUUUCAAUUAUGUUCAGUUUGACCCAAAAAGUUGCAGAAUCUUGAGCUGAAUAUUGUCACGGAACACUGUCAAUGUCGCUUAGCAUAGCCAACAAACUUGAUGUUAAAACAAACACACAGUGUGUCUCAUGUCUCACAAAUCAAAUUAUCAUCUGUAAUGAUGGAGAAUUUUUCCAAUGUAUGAAGUAUGCUUUGAUACGUGGGUUACCUUGGAGAAGAUAUCUCAAAAUAAAGAAUAUGGGGAGAAAACAGUUCAGUAGUUUAUUAUUCUGUAGUCAAGUUUUGUCUCGAAAAUGGUCAAAAUUUAAAUGAUUAAGGACAGGGGAUCUUCAUUCUUUUUCCCCUUUUUUAUACCAAGAUAUCUCUCAACCUUUAUAUAAUCCCCACUGGAUAUCUGCUUCUCAUAAUUAAAAUAAAAAUUUCACCGCUCUAACAAUAAAAAGUAACAUCUUUAGUCAAAUAAUUUUGCGGUUCCUCAUCAUCUUAGUGUGAGACUAUCAGUACUUCCAAAAACAUAAUAAAACUGGUUUGAUCCUGUUUAUUAAUGUUUAAAUGUUGUUCAUUGUGACAUGUAGAAAUGAUGAGGCGAAGUUUAUUUGGGCAUCAAUUAGUAAGAUCUUGUUCGAAGUUGUUUUCUGAAAUGAACUGCCAAAUGGUAGUUUUUUGGGGGCAUUUGAUGGCUCUUUUUUUUUCCUCAUUUUCAACAUGUGCCUGCUUGGAACAGGAAGGAUUAGGCUUUAGAGUUGUUAUUUAUUUUGAGAUGCUCUGGUCAUUGCACAAUUUGUUCACACUGGAAAUUAGAAUGAGAAAUUUGUUGAUGCUGUUUUGAGAGAUCUGCAUUCUAUGCACAAUAACAUGAUUAAUGAAAAUGUAUUGUAGGACUGGAAAGAUCUGUGGCAGCCUGAGCUCGCAGGAAGAAUUUCAAUGGUUAAUUCUCCCCGAGAGGUUAUUGGUUCAGUUUUGAAGUAUAGGGGAGCAUCAUACAAUUCAAACGAUAUUGAUUCGCAAGUUGCUGGUGGGAAGAUUGCUGUUCAGCAGAAUCUGGCAUUACUGGCAAACCAGGUACUCUUACAGAAAUGAUAUCUGGUCAUUGCAUGUUAUUGCCUGACAACUGAUUUUGUUUGUAAAAGUCUACUUCUUCAUACAUAUGAAUGCAUAUGUUAGUGUUUUCUUCUCGUUUUCAUACAUAUAAAUGCAUAUGUUAGUGUUGUCUUUUCCUUUUCAUACAUAUUACUACAUAUGUUGGUGUUCUCUCCUGAGAUGGAUGCAAUAAAGGCUUUUGCUCCUAAAUUUAGCUGAAGAAAUGGCAAGGGAUGUGAGAUUCUGUCUCAUUAAAUUAACAAAAACCCAAAGCAAUGAAAAUCCAUAAUAAUGUGGUGUGGGUAAAUUGGCUCCAUUUGGUUCGUUUCCUUAAUGUGAAUGCGCGAGCAAUAGAGACUAACAAAAUGAAGUGACAACAAGAAGUCAGUGUCCUUUGAUGGAUGCAUUUUUAGGCAGAAAUAGGUUUGUAAUUGACCAAAUUUGUCUGGCAUGCCAAUUUCAAAAAAAUUAAAUUAUGUGGUUAUUAGCUGUAAUGAAGGGGGAUAGUAGGUGCAAUCAGGUGGAUCCUGGAAAGUUCAAUAAAGUUUUGGUAUGGCGUAGUGAAAUUGGUUUGUGCAACUCAGGAGUCUUUCAGGUGAACGAUGAUAGGUUUUGAUUUAUGAAUAUUAUAAAUCUACUGUGCAUAGUAUUCUAGUAGAAUCAUCUAUAAGUUCUAGUUAUUGAAAUUGUAUACUUUGCCCGGUUUGAGUUAAGGGCACAUGUAAUAUGAAAGAUAGUUGUCGCAUCUUUUAGGUUACCUAACAUUUGAUCAAUCCUAUUAUGGGGGCUUCAAGAUGUCUAACAAUAUGUAGAAUGCCCAUGCUCCUCCCCAUUGUUUAUCUUCUACAAUAAUUUGUUUUAGAUGCUAAUAUCUUUGUCGAUACCGGUAACAAUAUUACAAUAUCUGCGUUUAUUGGGUUUUACAUAGGUUCGACUGUUUGACAGUACACACUAUCUGAAGGCAUUUGCAAUUGGAGAUGUAUGGGUUGCUGUUGGGUGGAUUAGUGAUGUUCUUCCUGCUGUCAAACAUAUGUCUAAUGUUGCUGUUGUUGUUCCCAAGUCUGGUGCUAGCUGCCUGCCAUUCUACUUCGAUAUUCACAUUGUUAUCUCCUUCAUAUUAGCGAUCAGUAAACACGAUAAUGUGACUAAUAAGUUCGUAUUCUCUUUAUAGGCAAUCCCUGCUGCCUCAAGACUUGAAACAAAACAAAUUGGAGGGCGAGUCGGAGGUCCAUCUCCGUUAAUCCAUCAAUGGAUAGAAUUCUGCUUGCAAACAGCGAGAGCAUUACCUUUCAAGCAAGAGGUAAUCCCAGGUGCAUCUCCCUCUGCCCUUGAAAGUACUCUGGUUAAGUUGCCUGAAGAACUUCUGGAGGGUAAACCAAGUCUGGAUACUAACUUAAUUGCUGGAGUACUCCCGGCUGAAAUUCUG
rnacentral:lncRNA from 1 species